AGAGUUUGAUCCUGGCUCAGGACGAACGCUGGCGGCGCGCCUAACACAUGCAAGUCGAACGAGCGAGAGAGAGCUUGCUUUCUCGAGCGAGUGGCGAACGGGUGAGUAACGCGUGAGGAACCUGCCUCAAAGAGGGGGACAACAGUUGGAAACGACUGCUAAUACCGCAUAAGCCCACGGUGCCGCACUGGCACAGAGGGAAAAGGAAGGACGAAAUCCG
rnacentral:rRNA from 1 species